UAGGAAAAUGAUUAAAUGCAGUUGCCUUUAUUACCUUGGCAUCCUGGAGAUGCCUGAAAAGACACCCUCAUUCCUGGGGGUGGGGCAGAGCAGGGAUGUGCAGCUGUGUGUCCUGCCUCCUGGCUCAGAAGGCAAGAGGCAGCUCUCACUAAGUGAAUGCCCCUGCCUCUCUCAGAAGGCACUGGACCCACUGCCUUGUCACAAGCAGACGUCCCCGUUCCCUCACCCACAGGAGAUGCUCGGUGACCAGCAAGUGUCUCAGGGUGCUGGGACCAGAAGUCCCAUGGGUGGCUUCAGUGAAGAUCAGUAAUAAUGUUCGGGGUUUAUAAUGGGGUGACAUGCCCAAAGAGAAGCAAACCAUCGCUUCACCAAGGACAGAGGUCCUUCCUCCCCUCCAGGGCCUCUGACACCUGGGGCAAACUGAGUUCAGUCUGAGAAAAAUCCACGCACCUUUCUCAAGGAACUCUGUACAGAGAAUUCCAGCUUCUGAGGAUUGGCCUCCUUUUCAUUAGUCUGAAUGAAUGAGGUGUUAAAGUCUGUCUUCAUUUUUGGAGUAAUUUUCUGCUCAAUUGGAGAGCAACCACAAGGUCUUUGGAUCCUUCAACCUGCUCCUGGAAAAGUGAAGUCCUCCUCUCCCAGCUCAUUGGUGUGCAGCUCACCCUCACCACCAUGGAAGUGGGAAGUGAGGUCACUGCUCUCUGCGACCAGUACAGCCCAUUCCUUCCUGUUGUCUUGUGUGGAAAUGCAGAGCCUAGGAAGCCCGCCAGCCUUGGCUUAUCUUUGGAUGAACUGUGUGGCCCUGAAGUCCAUAUGUGGAUGUCCUCACCGCAGUGCUUCCAAUGUGAACCUUGGCCUUUGGAGAAUGACUGGUGUGCUUACAAAAGGGACAAUUUGGAGACAGAAGCACGCACCCAGGGAGAAGGCCAUGUGAAGACGAAGACGGAGACCACCGUCAGGUUUCGUACACCAGGGAGUGCUGAGGACUGCCAGGCUCCAGCUGAAGUUAGCAGCUGUGAGCAGUGAAGUUCUGUUGUUCAGGCCACCCCGUCAAGCCAGCAUGUGGCCCUUCAGGAGACUCCUGCACUUGGCUUCUUUUGCCACCUCAUAUCCAGUGAGGGGCUUCCCAAAGAUGCAGGGCAUGGUCCCUGCCUCGAGUGCACUACACUGCUAAGAAUUGGACUGACCCAGGGACACUCUGCAAGGAGUCUCUGAGUGAGGCCUCUGUUGGGCCUGCCAUGGAGCCACAUUUCCCCAAGGAGCAGGCCCUGGCACACUGCCCAUCUGGGGACAAGAGCAACAGCUUUGCCCACCUGACAGAUGAGCAGGAGAAGGAGUCUGAAUCAGCCGGCUGGCCCCGAGCAGCGUCUCUUCUUCCCGGUAUUCACACCUCCGUCUUCUCAACAUUCUAAUGACUUUUAAACAUGCCUAAUCAUCUCCGAGGAAGGAAGGCAUUCCACACUUUACAAUCACGUGCAUCAACUGGCCCAUCUGGGGAGCUCGCCCCUGGAAAGGGGCACAGGCGAGCUGUCCGUUGAAUUUGCUCUCACAUCUGCUGCCAUCACUGCAGGGCCUCCUGGGCUCCAGAACUGUCCGGGCUCAUGUGUUCCAAUGCCUCAUUUUUGUUGUGGCUGCUUUUAAUUAUAAGCACUUCCACCAAAAUGAAUCACCAUUCAAAAUUCAGCUGGGGAAGCAUUUUUUUUUUCUAUUUAGCUAAACUGAACUGAAGCACAUUUGGGCGAGAAAUGAGAGGUUUAGUAGGAAUCUAUGGCAGGAGAGUGUCCAGUUUGCUGCAGUCAUCUAGAUUCUCUCCUUGGGGAAGUGAGAGCCUGGCUCAGAGUGUACACUGCCCUUCACUCCUCCCCCUGGAGUCCUCUGCCAUUAGUUAACAUUGAUGAGUAAGUGCUCUUAAGACAGCGUGGAAACUGUCCACCCCCUUUUACUUCCAACAUGCCACUGUCUGUCCAGCCAAAUGGCUACUGCUUCCCAGGAAAGUGUUCAGAACACUGGGCUCUGGAAAUGCUGUCACUAUGUGGGCUCCCAAGACAGACACUUGGGGAGAAAUCAGGAUGGAACAUCAUGUAAGUUGGGAAGAGGAUGAGAAUGGAGACAGAGGAGCAGGUGGUUCAGGGAAGGCAUUCAACGGGGAGCAAGCAGGAAAGCCAUGAGAAGACCUGCCUGAGAUCUGAACUCUGCGGUAGAAAAUCAUUUGGUGCAGUCUGUGCCAUGUGCUUGACAGCAGCCAGGAUUGUGCUGGGCCACACACAAAUGGGACUCAUACGGGGACACACAUGGGGAGGUAUCCUACAGCCCUGGGGCUUUCAAAAGCAUAGCCAUUGUCAUUAGCCUUUUUGUUCUUGGCCCAAGAUGAGGCAGAACAUCAUGGCAGAAAGGAAUGAAGGAGGAAAGCUGCUCAGGACUUGGCAAUCAGGAAGCAGAGAGAACUCUGCUCACCAGGAACAACAUAUGAACCCAAAGGCACACCCCCAGUGGCCCACCUCCCCAGCCACGCUCCACCUGCCUACAGUCGCCACCAGGUAAAUCCAUGUCAGGGAUGAAUCCUCUGAUUGUGUUACACCUCUCACAUUCAGUCUCCUCACCACGGAACAUCCCCACACUGUCUCACACGUGAGCUUCUGGGGCACACCUCAUGGCUACACCACAACAGCUGCUCUUUCCCUUGCCCUCCGUGGGUUUCUCCUCAGCCUCUUCUCCAGAAUGGAAACCAGCCAAACACCAGUAGAAUAAUCCUAUUUUCUACAUGUACAAACUCUGGGAUCCUCCCCAUGACCUUGGAGAACAGAACCAUGCAUGUUCUCCCUUGAACAAUGAGCAAUAGAGGCUCACAGAGGCUUUGCUCCCCUGAUGACCACCAGGAAGAGUGGUCACAUACCCCCUGCACCCAGCCCUGAACACAGCUUACUGCAUCAAAGCACAGUCCUCAUGGCCCCAUCCUUGGACACUAUGCUCAGCAUCCCAGUUUUGUAGAUGGGGAGUCUGAGGCUCCCGAGGGCUUGCUGAACUUCCCAGGCUCCUCAGUGAGGGUGUCAGGGAUUUGGCACCAGCCCUCCAACUCUAUGCUCUUGGCCAUUCUGCCUCCUCUUGUCCUGGAAGUGGAGGAUUCUCACUUUAAAAUAAGGACUCAUGUAGAUGGAGAGGUGCUAGCACGAAUCUCCAUCACGUGUGCCUUGGCACCAGGGCAGCCAAGGCCAUGGGAGGCCAGCCCUACCCUGAAAAGAGGCUCAGCCCUGCUCCCUGGGACUCCCUCUGAUGCUGUGAGAGUCCCUGGGUAUGGCAGCCAGCCCUCUGGGCUCAUCCAAGCCGGAGCUGUGCGUGCCUCUCUGAGUAGUGGCUAAGGUGGGACAAUGCUGGUCAGUGGGUGGGGCCACAGUGAAGGGCUGGGUGGCUGCUGCCCUGAGGCCUCAGUUAGCUUCUCCAGCAGGCUGAGUAAAAAGUCAUGACUCCCGUGAAGCAGCUGCCUGGUAGGGGACACUGAGUCUCAGAGACGCAGGCCAGUGUGUCUGCGGAGGGAGCACCCAGGUCUCUUCUCUCCAACUUGACACCUCCUGGGAUCUUUUCAGUUUCUGGCGUUUUCCUCCCAGUACCAUCAGCCCCAGUCAGGCAUGGACAUGGCCUUGGCACAGCCCACUCUGGUCCUCCUCCAGCCACAGGAGACUUCCACAGUGCAGAGACUGUGGGGCCAAGGUGGGCCUCCUGAAGCCAAUGCACACUGCUUCUAGAAAAUUCUGCAGAGUCUUGGAGUCCCAGAAUUCCCUGCCCAAACAGCCUUGUUCUGCUUCCAGAUUUCCUCCCUAGCUGCAUACUGCCAGGACCCACCACCAUGGUGAGGAUCGGGGGCUUCUGUGGGAGGGCUGGUGGAAGGUGGCAGCCUGCAGGAGGCCAACUGCACGUGCAGGGUGGGGGCCCAGGGGGCUAGGAGGUGGAACUCAAGCCAGACCCUAAGGGUGUCAUUCAUUCCUCCUCACCCAACCCCAGAAGGGACCUGCCAUGUCCCCAGGUCAGAGACACCAGGGCCAGGAGCCUUGCCAGAGAACACACAGAUGGCCCACCAGAACUUGUGUGGGGUCUGUCUGCCCCCAGAGGCCAGGUCCUAGUCAUUUCAUAGUGAAGCAUUAGAAAAUGCCUCUAGAUGUCAUAAAUCUAUAAGACUUGGUGGUAAAUUAAUCUGUAAAGCAAGAAAAGAAGGAAACUUACAAUGAAGCCUGAAAAAUCAUUUGAUGUACAAAAACUGGGAGUGGAAGCUACGUAUGCUUACCUGACCUGACAAAGGUGCUAGAAACAUUCGGUGGGGAAAAGACAGCCUUUUAAACAAAUGGUGACGGCAAAAGUGGACAUCUGUAUGUCAAGAACUAAAAACUAUUGGAACUAGGUCCCUCUCUCUCACCCUACACGGAAGUCAAACCAAAGCAGAUCAAAGACUUGAGAAUUAGACUAUAAACACUGCAACUGCUAGAAGAAUACCAGGGUCAGCACUCCAACAUAUGGGUGCCCACACCGAUUCCUUAACAAGACCCCUAAAUCUCAAGAAAUAAAACCAGGAAUCAGUUACAUGGGAUGGCAUCAAAGUAAAAAGCUGCUGUACAACAAACAAUUAAAAGCAUAAAGAGUCUACCAAAUGUGAGAAAAAUUUGUGCCAGCUAGCCUCGGGUCGAGGAUUAAUAUCCAUAACAUAAAGAACUCAAAAACCUAAUGAAAAAAAAAAGAAUCAAUAAAAGAAAUAAAUAGACAUUUCUCAAAAGAAGAAAUACAAAUGACCCUCAAAUACAUUUUUUAAAUGUUCAAAAUCCUUAGCAAUGAGGGAAAUGCAAAUCAAAACUACACUGAGGUUUCAUCUCAAUUCAGUUGGAGUGGUGGCCAUCAAGAAUACAAAUAAUAAUAAAUGCUGGCAAGAAUGUGGGGGAAAGACACUCAUAUCCUGUUGGUAAAACUGCAAAGGAAUACAAUCUUUCUGAAAAGCAGUCUAAAGACCCACCAAAGCCUAGGAAUGGGGACUCACUAUGACUGAGCAGCUCUCCUGCUCCUUGGUAUUUAUUCAAAAGAACUAAAAUGAGCACACUACAGUGAUACACGCAUACCAGUGUUUAUAGCAGCACAAUUCACAAUAGCCAAGUUACAGAACCAGUCUAGGUACCCAUCAACCAAUGAGUGGAUAAAGAAAAUGUGGGUAUGUAUACACAAAGGAAUUUUACUUAGCCAUACAAAAUAAUAAAAUUAUGUCAGUUGCUGGUAAAUGGA